rnacentral:rRNA from 1 species
UUAAAUUGAAGAGUUUGAUCAUGGCUCAGAUUGAACGCUGGCGGCAGGCUUAACACAUGCAAGUCGAACGGUAACAUGAGUGCUUGCACUUGAUGACGAGUGGCGGACGGGUGAGUAAGGUAUGGGGAUCUGCCGAAUGGAAGGGGACAACAGUUGGAAACGACUGCUAAUACCGUAUAAAGUUGAGAGACCAAAGCAUGGGACUUUCGGGCCAUGCGCCAUUUGAUGAACCCAUAUGGGAUUAGCUAGUAGGUGAGGUAAUGGCUCACCUAGGCGACGAUCUCUAGCUGGUCUGAGAGGAUGACCAGCCACACUGGAACUGAGACACGGUCCAGACUCCUACGGGAGGCAGCAGUGGGGAAUAUUGCACAAUGGGGGGAACCCUGAUGCAGCCAUGCCGCGUGUAUGAAG